rnacentral:lncRNA from 1 species
AUUGGGCCCCGGCAUGGCAUCCGUGCUUGUGACGAAGAUGCUGGCGUCUGCCCUGAGCCCUCUGCUCCGUUGGAGCCCUCCCCUGGCGAUGCCCCGCGCGCUCUCCACUCUCCUGCCCGGAUCCCAUCGCGCUGCCGGUGCUGCUGGUGCGAAGCCCAGGGCGUGGGAGCUCGCGGGACUGCCCGGCCGCCUGCUGCCCGGCCUGCAGCUGCCCAGCCUACAGCUUGCCCUGGGGUUCAAGACCAAGGGCGUCAUCAAGGAGCGCUGCAAGGACUGUUACCGGGUGAAGAGGCGCGGCCGCUGGUUCAUCUACUGCAAAACGAACCCAAAGCACAAGCAGAGACAGAUGUAGUUCCCAUCACUAAAAUGACGUGCGAAACUGCAUCACUUCCUUGCGGAAUGGUACCGUCUAUCCACAGAAAAAUAAAAUGUAAACAUUACCUAAUCGACCUUCAGGUCUUCUUGACUCUGCUACCCAGGCAUGUCACCUGUAGCAGCCCAGUCCCAUCAGCUAUGCAAGCAGAGCCCCAGUACGGGAAAUGCACCGUUUUAUCUUCUGUGCAUGCUGUGUGCACUCGGGCUGGAGGGCAGAAGCAUCUCUUCAGUCUUGGAACACGAGUGGAGAAGACAGAUGUGUCCCACUGUUUCUUCACCCCGUUGGUAUGUUUGAGCUUCAGCACCAUCCGUUUCUCCAAAGGAGGGUCUCUUGCUGGUCUUAAGCCUCUGCCUGUUCUUGUCAAUAAAGUUUUAUUGGAACACAGUCACGUUCCUUCCGUCAUGCGUCGUCUGUGGAUACUUUUGUGUCGCGUGGGCAGACCUGAGCGACUGUGUUGA